rfam:Ricinus communis ctg_1100012359049, whole genome shotgun sequence.
AAUUGGCAGUGAUGAUCUAAACACAGCUUUAAAUGCCAGUUCUGCUUCAGAAAAUUCGUGAUUGAUAGAGCUGUUAUUACUCUGAGCCCUUG